GACUAUUACUGUGCUGUUAAAACCAGCAGCUAUCUGAUUUUCGGCAAUGGAUCCACACUGAUUGUUGGAGACAGCUACACCACCAGCAGCUGGGUUUUGCUUCUUGCUCCAUCUCUCCCUGGUCUCAUCUCCACUGGGACGGUUGAUCUGGCUUGCAUUGUCCAUGGAGUUUCCAACCCAGUCCAAAUUUCCUGGAAUAUUUCUGGGGAUUGGCAGGAACAGGCACUAAUGCGAUCACUGAAAGCAAAGGAUGGAUCCUUAAUGCUCAUAAGUCACAUUAGCAUCCCGAAGGACGCCUGGAUCAGUGCGAAAAUUCUCACCUGUGAAGUCAAAUUCAACUCUUCUGGCAACAGCGUGAAGAAAAGUGCCAGGCUUUGACGAUGGAUGCUGUCAGUACGCCGUUCCCCUGGCAGUAGGGGGAGCCCUGGUGCUGUUGAUGGUGUCUCUGAGCCUUGUUUGGAUUUGCUGCCCUUCCACUCGAGGAUUCCAGGCCUGCCGCUCAGCACCGCCAGCCCCAGAGGAGCACCAGGAUGGGCUCGUGUACUGUCAGCUGGAUUUUGAUUCGAGGCAGCGUGGCCGGAGCACGAUGGAACGACCGGCGAGAGGGAAGAGUGAAAAAUCCUGACCUACCUGGUACAGGGGGAUCUGAACUGGCAAACUGACUGCUGAUCCGAAUGGGAUGAGUUGAAUCCUUCCUGGCUCCCAGGUCUCAUGUGGGCUCAAUCUCUGCACCGAUCGAGCAAAACCAAGUUAGUUACGUUAGUGUAAACCCCGUGUAGGGACGCGGCUUUACGGCUAAUUAAAAGGUAUUGG